AAUGGGCGAAAGCCUGAACCAGCCAUUCCGCGUGCAGGAUGACUGCCCUAUGGGUUGUAAACUGCUUUUAACUGGGAAGAAACCCCUGAACUUGUUCGGGGCUGACGGUACCAGAGGAAUAAGCACCGGCUAACUCCGUGCCAGCAGCCGCGGUAAUACGGAGGGUGCAAGCGUUAUCCGGAAUCACUGGGUUUAAAGGGUGCGUAGGCGGCUUAGUAAGUCAGAGGUGAAAGUUCUGGGCUUAACCGAGGAAUUGCCUUUGAUACUGCUGAGCUUGAAGGGAGAUGAGGCAGGCGGAAUGUGACAUGUAGCGGUGAAAUGCAUAGAUAUGUCAUAGAACACCAAUUGCGAAGGCAGCUUGCUGGUCUUCUCUUGACGCUGAGGCACGAAAGCGUGGGGAGCGAA
rnacentral:rRNA from 1 species